rnacentral:rRNA from 1 species
CCGAACCUACGGGACGCAGCAGUGAGGAAUAUUGGUCAAUGGGCGGAAGCCUGAACCAGCCAAGUCGCGUGAGGGAAGAAGGCCCUGCGGGUCGCAGACCUCUUUGGACGGGGAGCAAGGCCGCCGACGUGUCGGCGGAAGGAGAGUACCCGUAGAACAAGCAUCGGCUAACUCCGUGCCAGCAGCCGCGGUAAUACGGAGGAUGCGCGCGUUCUCCGGAUUUAUUGGGUUU